AGCCGCGUCUCCUCCAGGACUUCCCGGAGGGCGGACCUCGCGUCCCGUCCGGGAAGCACAGGGAAGGCGGGAAGCAGGCCCGGGCCGCCCACGAGGCCCAGAUCGCAGAACUACAAUGGUCUGGGAGGCAGAAACCGCAGAGGCCGGCCGCGCUACCGAUGAGAGCCCCGAGGCGGAAGGAAGCCCACGCGAGUAACGUGCGGGUGACCUGACGCGAGCGGAAGAUGGUGACGUGUGCGUAGUGACCAUGACGACGCGUCGGACGCUGCCCUAGGUGUCCAACGGGGUCUCCCUGGAUCCUCACAACAACUCCCUCCCGCCCCCCACCCCCCACCCCGAGCAGGGCACCGUGCUUAGCCGCAUCCCGCAGAUGGAGGGAUCUGCGCCCCCCGUGUGCACAGCCAAUGAUGAUCUUCAAGAGUCGGACCUGCUAGUCUUUUAAACAAACAUCUAAGGCGACUUUGUAAUUUAAAGGUUGAUAACAUACACUCUUAACAACCUUGUCCGCUUUCCGGACAGAUAAAAGGAAAACUGCGUCGCAAUCGAUCUUCUUUUUGGAAAGUAGCCUGGCACUUCCUCAAAAGCUUAAAUGAGCUACCGCGUGGCUCAGCGACUCCACUUCUAGGCAAAGACCCAAUGGAAACGACAACGCACGUCUACGUGAAACCUUAUACAUAAGCUUUCAGGCAGCCUUCCUCGUAACAGCCCGAGAGUGGCAGCGACCGAGGAACAGAUAAGGAAGACGGGGUGAGUCCACACAACGGAAUGUUAUUUGUCAACAAAAGAAGUACCGGUAACGCACAAACCAGGCGGAUGGGCCUUCACAACACGGGCCCACGGCAAAGAAUCCAGUCCCCAAAGACCACACGUCGCAUGAUUCGUUCACGGUCAACGUCCAGAACGGGUGGACGGAAAUCAGAUUAGCGGUUGCGAGGUACAGGGGAUGCGGCUUUUGAGGGGAAAUGAGGAGUUACUGCUAAAAAAUAAAUGGGGUUUCUUUCGGGAGUGAUGAAGAUAUUCUGAAACGGACUGUGAGAAUGUCUGCACAAGCCACGAACUGAACUAUGAACUGAAAACCAGUUGUCCACUUCCUAUAAAUGGGUGUAUGCAAGGUAUCAGUAAAGCUGCAUUAAAAAAAAAAAAAAAAACCCUGACCUUUUAAAUAUUUACUAUAAUCAGACAUGGUUUUCUACCACCGGCUCCCAUAAUCAUUUGGUCAGGCUGCCACACGCAGCCUGGGUGUGACGUGCAAAAUGGAUUAUACUUUGAAGGCUGGUUAACUGGGAAGCAGAUUUCUGCAGAGGUCCCCAACCCCCCAAAUAAAGAGGACUAAAGCAUGGCAAGACAGUUCCGACAACAUAUUCUGGGCAGGAAAACCAACUUCCAAAGUUGGUGGAAAAGAGAGCGGGAAGCAGCACGGAGGGCGUAUCACUCGGCGAACCACUAAUACAAGGUUUUAACUACGGUUCCGACAGAAUUCUCAGGGACAGACGCCUUUUCCUGGACCUCCUUGGAUUAUUACGCAUCUUUACUCAUGUAGGGUAAGGCAUCUUUUCAAAGUGGGACUGUUGGUUCAACAUCCACUUUUAUAUAUGCUGAAGCAAUUCAAACCUAUUUUAAUAAAUUCCGUGUGCACUAUUA